ACUCAGGAGAGUCUCUUAAAAAGAGCGCCGAAGGUGUACGCAGUGAUUCACUGUUAAUCUCUCAGGCAAAAGGAUGGAGGAAGAA
rnacentral:ncRNA from 1 species